AACGAACGCUGGCGGCGUGCUUAACACAUGCAAGUCUAGGGGAAUUCGCUUUCGGGCGAUAGUACACUGGCGAACGGGUGAGUAACGCGUGAGAAACCUACCCCGGAGAUUGGGACAACACAGAGAAAUUUGUGCUAAUACCGGAUAAGCCCACGGGUUUAGUUAUUUGUGGGAAAAGACGGGGCAACCUGUCGCUUUGGGAUGGUCUCGCGUGUCAUUAGCUAGUUGGUAGGGUAACGGCCUACCAAGGCAACGAUGACUAGGCGGCCUGAGAGGGUGGCCGCCCACACUGGAACUGAGACACGGUCCAGACUCCUACGGGAGGCAGCAGUGGGGAAUUUUGCGCAAUGACCGAAAGGUUGACGCAGCAACGCCGCGUGUAUGAUGAAGGCUUUCGGGUCGUAAAGUACUUUCAGUGGGGAAGAACUGCAUAAUCAGUAACUGGGUUAUGAUUGACGGUACCCACAGAAGCAGCCCCGGCUAACUCCGUG
rnacentral:rRNA from 1 species